rnacentral:rRNA from 1 species
GAUGAACGCUGGCGGCGUGCUUAACACAUGCAAGUCGAACGGAAAGGCCCAAGCUUGCUUGGGUACUCGAGUGGCGAACGGGUGAGUAACACGUGGGUGAUCUGCCCUGCACUUCGGGAUAAGCCUGGGAAACUGGGUCUAAUACCGGAUAGGACCACUUCUUGGAUGUUGUGGUGGAAAGUUUUUUCGGUGUGGGAUGAGCUCGCGGCCUAUCAGCUUGUUGGUGGGGUAAUGGCCUACCAAGGCGUCGACGGGUAGCCGGCCUGAGAGGGUGUACGGCCACAUUGGGACUGAGACACGGCCCAGACUCCUACGGGAGGCAGCAGUGGGGAAUAUUGCACAAUGGGCGCAAGCCUGAUGCAGCGACGCCGCGUGGGGGAUGACGGCCUUCGGGUUGUAAACUCCUUUCGCUAGGGACGAAGCGUUUUGUGACGGUACCUGGAGAAGAAGCACCGGCUAACUACGUG